rnacentral:rRNA from 1 species
CCUACGGGGAGCAGCAGUGAGGAAUAUUGGUCAAUGGCCGUAAGGCUGAACCAGCCAAGUCGCGUUCAGGAUGACGGAUCUAUGGUUUGUAAACUUCUUUUAUACGGGAAUAAAGGUAUCCACGUGUGGAUAUUUGCAUGUACCCUAUGAAUAAGCAUCGGCUAACUCCGUGCCAGCAGCCGCGGUAAUACGGAGGAUGCGGGCGUUAUCCGGAUUUAUUGGGUUUAAAGGGUGAGUAGGUUGGUUUUGUAGUCAGCGGUGAAAGUUUGUGGCUCAACCAUAAAAUUGCCGUUGAAACUGGACGACUGGAGUGUGUUUGAGGUAGGCGGAAUGCGGGGUGUAGCGGUGAAAUGCAUAGAUAUCACGCAGAACUCCGAUUGCGAAGGCAGCUUACUAAGCCAUAACUGACACUGAAGCACGAAAGCGUGGGGAUCAAACAGGAUUAGAUACCCCUGGUAGUC